UAUAUCCCCAGGAGAUGGAUCUAAGUCCUUCCCUCUUCAGUUUGGGUCGUUAAAUCCUAGUUUCAUGAAUGGGAUGCAGGUUCCUGCUCGAACAAGCUCAACACCGCCAAACUUGGAUGAGCAGAAACGUAGCCAGGCUCGCCUCAACUCUUU